UACGGGGGGAGCAAGCGUUGUUCGGAUUUACUGGGCGUAAAGGGCUCGUAGGCGGCGUGUCAAGUCACUCGUGAAAUCUCCGGGCUUAACCCGGAGCGGCCAAGUGAUACUGUCGUGCUAGAGUGCGGAAGGGGCUACUGGAAUUCUUGGUGUAGCGGUGAAAUGCGUAGAUAUCAAGAGGAACACCUGAGGUGAAGGCGGGUUGCUGGGCUGACACUGACGCUGAGGCGCGAAAGCCAGGGGAGCAAACGGG
rnacentral:rRNA from 1 species